CAAAGUGAGAAUUCUAUCUGUGCUCUGUGCCGUGUUCUGCUGUAGCACAAACACUGGAAGCGAUGGGAGUCUUUGCUGUGUCUGAGUGGGUUUUGUGUUUUGUGCUGCAGUGUAUAAGCUUGGGAGGAUACAGGACAGGAGACCUGGAACGUCUCUGCCGUGAGAGACCGGCCGAUCCUCCGGAGGUCCUCUCACACCUGCAGGGUCGUAAGAGGUGAACAGAGAAACGAGACGGCUGCUGGUGUACAGACUGUGACAGGAACGGUGUAAGAGUCUGCAGAAAACGGGCUUCUCCCAGAGGAGAGCUACGUGCAAACACUCCUGUUUGAAAGGUACUUCCCCCAGAUCUUUGGUGAUUAAUAAAUUGUACUUUACUGAA